UAAUAAGUGUUUUAUGGCACUUUUUAAAUCCAUAUCCACCUUGUGUGCAAUGUCAGUCGAUCUUCUUCUUGAGGAUCGACCAAACAUCAACCUUUAUCUUUUAACUCUUUGUCUGAAAAAUAUUAUGAAUAAACAAUUCAAAAUA
rnacentral:misc_RNA from 1 species